CACUGUUCUCCAUGUUACAAAUAUACAGUUUCAGCAGACCAUGGUACAUAUUACAGAUUACAUUUUCCUGUUUUAAACAUACGGGGAUUUCUUUUUUUGACAAAUGCACUGUUGUUGCAGCGUCGGAGCAGGCGGAUCAUUGUUGGCCUAAAUCCCACAGCUGAGCAUGCUCCACUCUUUUUUGUGUGUGUGUGUGCAGAGGCAGCUGCAGACAGAUCCUCUGGGUUUGGUUUCCAUCGUGGACAAAUUUCAUGCCUUUGAAGUUAAGAUUGAUCUCCCGACAACAAAGAGACUUUCAGCCUGAGAGCAGCAACAGAGUUAGAAAAGGCACUGACGUGGAGAUUUCAAGUUGAAGCUCUUGAUGCAUCUAGACUUGUUCCUCCACACUGGGACGAGAUGACCUUCUAAUGACCUUUUCAUGAAAAAAACAUCGUUCUGACUCUGCAGCCUGUGCCUGGAAACCACAGAUGGUGCAGGGGAAUGUUGAUUCACGUGGUGCUGGAGGAGACCUUGCUGCAGAAGAUGAAUGCUGCUUCAUUGUGCUUCUUUGUGCUCAACUAAUUAUUCCUGUGACAAGUGUGACAUCAGCCCAGCUUUGAACAGAGGCUUCAACAGUAUUGAGUGGCUCAAGGUUGCAGUCUGAUGUGACUUUGAUUAGCUUGAAUCCCCGCUAUGAAAAGCUCCUGCUGCACCUACAGGAGGGUGUGUUGUGAAAUUACCUGUUGCUAAGGAACUGAAGUGACUUUAUGCAUAAGGAAAAAAAGGCUUUGCCAAGGUUUUCUAGCGAAAGAAUUUCUGCAGCAACCUUCUGUUAAGUCAAAUGAUAUCUACAUUUUUCAGAUGUGUUUACUUCAUGUGAAGUGCAGCUCAAAUAUCAAUGGAAACUAAGCGACAACAUCUUCCUCUUAAAGGAUUUUUAAUAUUCUCAAAGUAGUUUCUUAUAGUGAAAAAGAAAGGCUACCUGUCCUGUGUUUCCAGCACUGCAUUAACAGGGCUGUGAUAAUGAUAAUAAUGUAUGUGUUACUCGUUCACUCCUUAGCAUAUUGUUUUUAUUUUUACCUCUCAUUACAUUUCACAGCUGUCCAAAUGGGUUUUGUGAAGGAAAAAAAACCAUCCCUUUUAACUGAAGGAUGUAGAGGUGUUGGGAAACGACGCCCACAUGUUUGGCCUUGGAAUGAGUUGUCAUUGUCACUAUGGUGAUUAAAUCAUCCCCCGCUGGAUGAUAGAAAUGUUUCCCAGCGAUUUGACAUUUGAAUAUCUGGUCUGAAGUGUUAUACACACAGAAUGUGGAGGUAACUAAAUCUAAGUACAACAUCUUUCUGGCAACAUCUUGUCAAAGAAAUGUUUUAAUACAGUAAUGAAACUUCUGUCUAUUUAAAGUUAGUGUGUUCAACAAUGAGGAAAAAAACACAACAUUGUAAAACAUGAGCUUUAACAUUUGAGCUGACUGCUUCAAGACAUUUUUAAAAUGAAUCUUAUUUCAUAUUUAUGGGCUGAGGUUCCAUCUAAACAAAUGAGUUUUUUCAGCCUGUAACACUAGAUGUAUAAAGUGUCUGCUGCCUAAUAUCAAAAGAAAUCACUGUGGAGUCAGGAUAGCAGAAGUCUUCUGAUGAUGCUCUCUGAAUUCUCAGUUCAGUUCAGUUUUGGGGUUUUUUCCCAACAUUUUUGCAAAACUUCAGCCAAAAUUUCUUAAAUAUUUCAAACGUUUUAACACUUUCAUAAAAAUUAUUCAUUGGUCUUGAAAUGUUUUGGAUCCUAGACUUUUUACACUUUGCUUCUUUUUGUGUU